rnacentral:rRNA from 1 species
UACGUAGGGGGCUAGCGUUGUCCGGAAUCAUUGGGCGUAAAGCGCGCGUAGGCGGCCCGGUAAGUCCGCUGUAAAAGUCAAAGGCUCAACCUUUGAAUGUCAGUGGAUACUGCCGGGCUAGAGUCCGGAAGAGGCGAGUGGAACUCCUGGUGUAGCGGUGGAAUGCGUAGAGAUCGGGAAGAACAUCGGUGGCGAAGGCGGUCUGCUGGGCCGUUGCUGACGCUGAGGCGCGACAGCGUGGGGAGCAAACAGG